AUGGGGAUUUAUACCUCACACUCCUCAAAGGAAAUUGGCUCACAAAGACCCCCAGGCAUUGUCUGGUCAUAUGUGGGAGGCAGCAGCAGCAACAACAACAGCAACAGCAACAACAGCUACAGGAGGAAGAAGAGGAGCAGUGAGGGUGGCAGAAGCUUUUAAAAUUAAUCUGUUUUUUUGUCUAUUAAAAAAAAUGUUCUACCAAUUUAGAGAGGAACAAGGGUUCUAAACUCCAGACUUCUGUUCACCUACAAUGUAAAAUUUAAAUAUCCAGUAACUCCAAGAAUUAUAUUUUAUAAGAUUUAUUAGUAAUAACUUGAAGUAGAAGAAAUACAAGAACAAAAGUAAAAACCUGAGUAAAGCCAUGUGAAUAAAGUUCUUCUGCUUGGCACUCACCCAACUGCCACAACCACCUUCCAGGGAACAGAGAGCAAGGGUGGAGAUCGAACUGUUUGCCAGCACUAGAAGGGGGAAGGAAAGGGAGGGAUCAAGACAAUUUGGAUCACAUAUCUUCAGAAAACUUAUGUGGAAAUUUAUUAUUACAUGCAUCUGCAACGCUCCCACUCUCUAUUGCUGAGGGAAAGGAGAAAUGGGCUUUCAAAAUAUGGGUAAAAGGACCGAGUUCAAAGCGUCAUCCCCCAAGGCGAGGGAGGAAAAGCACAACCAAGAUUUCAGAAACACCCACUGCAUCACUUCAGUUGGGAUUGCUCUCCAUGCCGGCGUGCCUGUUUUGCAUGUGUUUUUGAAUUAAUAAAUGAAUCUUCACACUGUUGACUCA
rnacentral:lncRNA from 1 species